GGAAUGGGGAAGAGGGAAGCAGGCGCUUUUCCUCCAGGGUCUGCAAAUCAACAUCCCGCUCACCCAUCCCGAAUGCUGCGCCUGCAAACUUUUCCUAGCUUCUGGAAGGAGUGAGAAAGGAAGAGCAGGAGAAACAACAAAUCGCGACUACAAGUUGAAUUUCCUUUGGCUAUUGCUGGCCUUUACAGUCUGACUUCCUGAUUAGCGUCUCUCUACGUGAAGAUACUGAAAUCGCCUUCUCCUUCCAUCUCCCCAAACUUACCCACAGCUGUCUCCAGCCAAGAACUUGGAGAGGAAGAAGAGUUGCAAGUUUCACCCCCAGGAAUCACGAGACCGGUCUGCACUCCUGCGUGUUUUUGGUGUGAAACUAUAAAGAAUUGCACGGGGCAUGGCAGGGGGCAGAUGACAUCAAUCUUGAAGCGAUUCUCCACUUAUGUGACUGUUGACUCCACCAAGAAAUAAAGAGUGUUUUUAAAACUACCCUGUGAGUGAAGGCUAACUGGAGCUGCUAUGAAGCCUUUUAGGAUGUGGAACCCACUCUGAAUUGACAACUCAAACCUGGUGUACUUUGGUCCAGAAUCCAGAAAAGACCCAGCAAGCAGUGUGCCUCUCUCUUUGUGGUAAGUGAUAGAAGAUAUAGCUAGUUUCUGUCACUUUCUAAGUAAUAUCCUGACAUUGCCUAGUCAUACACCCCUGAAACUUCUCUAGUUUAUCUUCUACCGUCUGGUGUGCAUGGAUCUUAUUAAGGCACAUAGGAUUCUUUAUUUCUAAUCCCAAAAUGCAUUUAAUACAUGUGGAUUGUCAAUAUAACAAACAAUCCAGUGUAACAUUCCACAGCAUAUAAAGACUGUAGGGACUAUGUGAUGAGAGAGGGCUGAAAACAGAAUGGUAAAGAUACACUUUGUCUCUGAGAAGCCAACUGCUUCUAAUUAUCUUUGUUAGAUUUUCAAAAUAAUAGGUUAAAUCAAUAGCUUUAUACUAGCUACUGGGGACCACAGUGAUUUUUCCUUAUCCAGAACUGCAAAUUAAGUCUGUGAUAAGGCUCAGUCUUUCUCCAAGACUUACCAAGCUUUGCACCAGCCAACUAGGCUAUUGAAAUGGACAUACAGUAUGAAUCAACUUCUCUGCAUUUAAAAAAUCUUUUAUUAUGGAUUUCAGGUUUUCAGUUCCACUCAGUUCCACUGCGGCAGUGGUAUCACUUUUAGAUGUAUUUCGAGGAAGGUGGGAAAGAAGGGGUGAGGGGAGGAGACACUUUAGUGAAAGCAGAGAGAAUAGAUAUAUGGAGAGGACAGCGCGACAGAGGCUGUGACAUUCAGAAGCGAUGGCACCAACUCCCAACCUCCAGCAAGGACCUGGGAAAAUACGCAAUGCCCUGAACUCAUCUUUCUUUAAGACCCUCCCAAAGUGCUGGUGCCUCCUAUUGGCCAAACCAGCCAGAAGGCAGAGGAGGCUGCAGCUAUCCGGCAUAGCGAUCAGCCUCUGGGAGAGCAAGCAGAAUAAAUAAAAAUGGAGAGCAUGAUGGAUGGGAAUGCUGAUUACUGAAAAUAACCAAAACACAGGCCAGUCACAGUGGUAAGUACAUUGAUGCUAGCUGUUAAGAGGGAAAUGAACAAGACUGUAAAAUCAUAACGUUUACAGCAUCUUGCAGAUUUCUCUCAAGCAUUAAUCUUGGUCUACAUUUUACGGACUCUGUUCUUAAAUGUCACUAGAAGCUCAAUUGAACUUCUGUGUCCAGUUUUGAAUUCUGUACUUGGGAUCACCUCUUCCAUCCUUCUCUUUGUUUAAAGCUGGUCAUUUGACCCGUUCCUUCAGAAUGGCCAUAUUUUAAAGCAUCUAGAUCUGAAGAUACAAAAUAAAUAAAUAAAGUAAAAUAAAAUAAAACGCUUUGGUUUCUAGAAUCUGGGUAAAUACCAUUCUGCCGAAGCUCUUCUCCGUUAAAAAUCUGCUCAUAUCUGUCUUCUUUCCUCAAGGUUUGACUAGUGAUUAUUUCUGUUCUCUCAUUUGGUUGGAUGAAAGUACUUGAGGAUGACACUUGGAAGAACAUUAUGCCUCCAUUAGCCAUUUUAAAAAUAACUGUAUUUGCUUGUUACUAUUUUCUGUGUCAUGUAAUCAAAUAUUUACCUCCUCCACAGCACACAGCAGCAAUAGCUGUUCUUAAAGCCAUUUAUUUGCUUCUACAGUAAAGUUGUCCUGACCAGUUCUUUUUUUUUAAUGCCCAGAGAUGUGUGUUUUACAGUUCCAUGUCGGAGGGAACUGCUGCCAGCCAAGUGGUGUGCAGUGGAGAAGUUCUUGUUAUGUUUUGUUCAGUUUUGUGUUUCUAGGUGGGUUUUUGAGCUAAGAGAUCUUGAAAUACCAAAAUCAUGUAGGUGGAAUAUAAUGAACAACUAUUUCUAAAUCAUAAAUAAGCUGUAAGUACUAAACUGAGAUUCCAAAUACUUUUAAGACAUAAUAAAGCAAUACCUCUUUAAUUGUCCAUUUCAGAGAAAGCCCAUCACCAAUUAAAUGUUGCUUGCCUCACAUUGAACUCUAACUAGUGCAGGGGAAUUGACAUUCCAGAAGAAAGAUACUCUGAAGACUAGCAAGAAUUCUCAUUCUUUUGUAAAUUUAUAUAGGCUUGAGUUUAAUAUCUAAAUGAAAGUUUAAAGAAAACAUAUUAAAACUUAGAACAUAUAUUUUCUCUUGCAUUGGUUAAGGGACUUUGGACUACAAAAGAAAAAAGAAAACAAAUAAUGAAAUCACCCAUGAUAGAACAUCUGGUUGAAUUUUGCUAGUUCUUUAUAUUUUAAACAUUUCCGCUUUCCUUAUUUGAAUGAAUAAUGUUUAUGUGGGAUAAUUGUUAUCGUUGAUAAUGCUGAUCUUUCAAAAGAGAACAUUGCAUUGUUUGUGGAACCUUAAUAAUGUAGGAAAUUGGUUUUUUCAAUUCAGUUUACUUGCUCAAACUUUUUGGUGAACAUUGCAUACCCUAGCAGAAAUGGUGUGGUUUAGAAAGUUGAUAUUCCAGUUCUCAGUGAUUCAAACUCUCUAUUCAGCCAAACCCAGGGUGACAGUGUCUGUUGGAACAUAGAACUUCUUGUCCAAUAAGUGCAUCCCUUAAAGAAAGGAAUUUGAGCAAAGUCUGGCGAAACUGUAAAUAAAACACAGCGUUUAGUUACAUCAGGAUGGGCUCCCACAAGAAUUAAAUGAAUGCUUGUCCCUCAGGGGAAACUGCAACCACUAAAGACAAAAUUUAGGGCUGUUUUUAAGUGAAGAAGAAUAAUCUUGUUUGAUUUUAUUACAUACAGAUUUUGCUUUUACAAAAUGUGGAACAGAUGGAAAAAUUCAAUUACCAUAGUUGUUUUUACAUAUCUAUUCCAUUUGAAAGAUAAAUAUGAAGAUGAAGAUAAUUUCCAAAUUACUGUUAAUUUGUGUGUUUUAGUGAAGAUCAGCUGGUAUAUUAUUCCUUAGAUAAUGAAGCAUUUUAAAAGAAUUUUUUAUUAUGGCAAAUUCUAAUUGCAUAAAAAAUAAAACAGUAUAAUGAAAUCCCAUUACUCAUCAUUAAGCUUUAACAAUCUUGAGCAUAGAAUUAAUAUUUUCAUAACAUAAUUUCAGAAAAUUUGAGAACUAUGAGGUCUACAAGGUAUCAGUCCAACAGUAUGACUGUAUUUUGCAGAUAUGGCUGUUGAGAGCUAAAGGAGGUGAGUGACAGCCGCGUAAAGGGCUUAGAUCCAUUCCUGGAAGGUGGUAGGUCACCACUACUAUUGGUAGUAGGGAAAUUUCAGCUUUGGUGAAAAAUCUCUGUCAGAAGUAGAAGAACUUAGGGAAAUAGAUGAGAAGCACAGAUGUCUAAAUCCCCAAAGGAAGGUGGAAACAACAUUUGGAACCACCAGCUCUCAGAGAGGGGUGAUCUGAAGUGGCCAUUGUGCAACCAAGUCCCCAGGUCCAGUAGUUCUAUAAGCUGGACAUCGCCAGCAGGCUGACAGUCCGGGCUGGGCACUGCUCUGGUUGCCCCAGGAGCCAGCUCCUCUGUGCUGGAAUUGUGGGUAGAGAAGAGCUGAUGUGAGAGACAGAUACCAAGGGGGAAGAAAAGAGAGGCGGGAGCUAAGAUCAGAACCAGAGAUCAGUUCUGAUUUCUCUCCUACGAGGUUUUUAAAAAUGCUAUCUAAAAGGACUUUGGUGAUUACCUCCUUGUUUAUGCAUGAAUUUUUUAUGUAAAUGUCAGGUGGUAUGCAACUUCUUGUAAGCUAGAAACAUUUGGAAGCCAAUACCCGUGCUUGUGUAGUAGAAUCUUCACUGAGAUUUUUAAUCUAGGCAGGGCCUAAAGUUCCAGUAAAUAGGACUGGCCCAAAACUCUGACACGCAUGUGCAAGUCUACUUUGAAUCCAAGGUGCUAGGAUUGUUUAUGGACCAACUUCCUUUGAAGAUAAAAUGAGACAAGUUAAAGUCUCAUGUGUCUUUUAUAGGGACCUUUGGCCUUUAAAAUAUUACUUUUCUUUCUAAUUUUUUUUUUCUCUGAAGGUGCUCAUUAGGUAAUAAUCCCUUAGGCAUGUCUUCAGAUUUCCCUUUUCAAAUUAUAAAAACUGGAUCAUUUUUGGCCAUUUUCUAAUUUCACAAAUGAAAACAUAAUAUUCUAAAAAUAAUGUCACCCUAUAAAACAAAAUACUUAAAAUCUGGCCAAAUAUUUUGCUUAUUUCUUCUAUUUAAACACCUGUGUUUUAUAAAAUCUCAAAUCCUGUUGUAGUCCCUGCGUAUUCAUAAAGAAUAUUUAAUUUAGGCUACUAUUUAGUCAAUUGGUAGGAGACAUCUUACUAUUAAUACAGUUUGUUGUUUUAGAAACUCACACCAGCAUAUUAGCAACAUAGAAUUCAGAACUGAGUUUUUAGUUGUUGUUCAGUCGCCCUGUCGUGUCUAACUCUGCGACCCCGUGUACUGCGGCAUGCCAGGCCUCCUUGUC